UCCUCCGCUUAUUGAUAUGCUUAAGUUCAGCGGGUAUCCCUACCUGAUCCGAGGUCAACCUUAGAAAAAUAAAGUUGGGUGUCGGCUGGCGCCGGCCGGGCCUACAGAGCAGGUGACAAAGCCCCAUACGCUCGAGGACCGGACGCGGUGCCGCCGCUGCCUUUCGGGCCCGUCCCCCGGGAGAGGGGGACGGGGGCCCAACACACAAGCCGUGCUUGAGGGCAGCAAUGACGCUCGGACAGGCAUGCCCCCCGGAAUACCAGGGGGCGCAAUGUGCGUUCAAAGACUCGACGAUUCACUGAAUUCUGCAAUUCACAUUACUUAUCGCAUUUCGCUGCGUUCUUCAUCGAUGCCGGAACCAAGAGAUCCGUUGUUGAAAGUUUUAACUGAUUACGAUAAUCAACUCAGACUGCAUACUUUCAGAACAGCGUUCAUGUUGGGGUCUUCGGCGGGCGCGGGCCCGGGGGCGCAAGGCCUCCCCGGCGGCCGUCGAAACGGCGGGCCCGCCGAAGCAACAAGGUACGAUAGACACGGGUGGGAGGUUGGACCCAGAGGGCCCUCACUCGGUAAUGAUCCUUCCGCAAGGUUCACCUACGGA
rnacentral:misc_RNA from 1 species